GUCCUAUAGAAUAAAUACAGGACUGACAGUCCGAAAUAAAUUGCUAGGUUAGCAUGAAAUAGAUAAGACAAAUUAGUUAAUGAGGAAAUUAAUGGAAAAAUCACAAUUCCAAAGACAAAACUGUUGCAUACAUCACAAUUUAAAUAGAUUAGGAGCUUUAUAUCUAAAGAUGUGGAGAAGACUAUUGAAAAUGACACAAACUUAAUGAAGACAAUACACUG